UACAGAGGUCUCAAGCGUUGUCCGGAAUCAUUGGGCGUAAAGAGCGUGUAGGCGGCUCGGUAAGUCCGCUCUGAAAGCCCGGGGCUCAACCCGGGAGGCGGGCGGAUACUGUCGGGCUAGAGUCCGGAAGAGGCGAGUGGAAUUCCUGGUGUAGCGGUGAAAUGCGCAGAUAUCAGGAGGAACACCAAUAGCGAAGGCAGCUCGCUGGGACGGUACUGACGCUGAGACGCGAAAGCGUGGGGAGCAAACAGG
rnacentral:rRNA from 1 species